CGGUAAUUCCAGCUCCAAUAGCGUAUACUAAAGUUGUUGCAGUUAAAAAGCUCGUAGUUGGAUUUCUGCGGGGACGGAGCGGCCGGUCGCAACUUGCGACUCGAGCUAGCGCUUUCCCCGCAUCCUGCCGCGAACCGUGCUACCAUUAGCUUGGUGGCGCUGGGGAUCGGCUCGAUUACUUUGAGAAAAAUAGAGUGUUCAAAGCAGGCCACACGCCUUGAAUAAGUUAGCAUGGAAUAAUGACUAAGGACUUCGGUUCUAUUUUGUUGGUGUUCGGGACUGAAGUAAUGAUUGAUAGGGACAGUUGGGGCGGUCUGUAUUCCAAAGCGAGAGGUGAAAUUCUUAGACCUUCGGAAGACAAACAGCUGCGAAAGCGUUCCGCAAGGAUGUUCCCUUUGAUCAAGAACGAAAGUUGGGGGAUCGAAGACGAUCAGAUACCGUCGUAGUCUCAACUAUAAACUAUACCAGCUAGGGAUCGGUCAACGUUUAAUCAUUCGACUUGAUCGGCACCUUAUGAGAAAUCAAAGCAUCUGGGUUCCGGGGGGAGUAUGGUCGCAAGGCUGAAACUUAAAGGAAUUGACGGAAGGGCACCACCAGCCGUGGAGCCUGUGGCUUAAUUUGACUCAACACGGGAAAACUUACCAGGUCCAGACAUAGUAAGGAUUGACAGAUUGAUAGCUCUUUCUUGAUUCUGUGGGUGGUGGUGCAUGGCCGUUCUUAGUUGGUGGAGUGAUUUGUCUGGUUAAUUCCGUUAACGAACGAGACCCCAGCCUGCUAAAUAGCGCGGCUGAGCUUUGCUCGGUGCGAGCUUCUUAGAGGGACUAUGAUGCGCGAUAGCACAUGGAAGUUUGGGGCAAUACCAGGUCUGUGAUGCCCUUAGAUGUUCUGGUCCGCACACGGGCUACACUGGCGCCUGCAACGAGCAUAUCAGCUGGCCCGAGAGGGUCUUGGCUAAUCUUUUGAACCGGCGCCGUGCUUGGGAUUGACCAUUGCAAUUGUUGGUCAUGCAACGAGGAAUGCCUUGUAAACGCGAGUCAUCAGCUCGCAUUGAAUACGUCCCUGCCCUUUGUACACACCGCCCGUCGCUCCUACCGAUGAAUGUUCCGAUGAAAUUUUCGGAGAGCGCCAGAGAACGGGGCUCUGCCUUGCAGAUCUGGAGGCUCAAAGUCACUUAAAUCUGAACAUUUCGAGGAAGGAGAAGUCGUAACAAGGUAACC
rnacentral:rRNA from 1 species